rnacentral:rRNA from 1 species
GACGAACGCUGGCGGCGUGCUUAACACAUGCAAGUCGAACGGAAAGGCCUGCUUUCCCUUGUGGAUUGCGGGUACUCGAGUGGCGAACGGGUGAGUAACACGUGAGUGAUCUGCCCCCAACUUGGGUAUAAGCCUGGGAAACUGGGUCUAAUUCCCGAUAGGACUGCAGGGUGGUGCCUGUGGUGGAAAACGAUUUUCUAGUGGUUGGGGAUGAGCUCGCGGCCUAUCAGCUUGUUGGUGGGGUAAUGGCCUACCAAGGCGGCGACGGGUAGCCGGCCAGGGAGGGUGGACGGCCACAUUGGAACUGAGAUACGGCCCAGACUCCUACGGGAGGCAGCAGUGGGGAAGAUGGCACGAUGGGCGGAAGCCUGAUGCAGCGACGCCGCGUGGGGGAUGACGGGCUUCGGGUUGUAAACUCCUUUCGACCGCGAGGAAGCCACCUGGUUGGAAGGGUGGUGACGGUAGUGGUAGAAGAAGCACCGGCUAACUACGUG